rnacentral:rRNA from 1 species
AUUGAACGCUGGCGGCAUGCCUUACACAUGCAAGUCGAACGGUAGAAGGAGCAAUCCUUCGAGAGUGGCGAACGGGUGAGUAAUACAUCGGAACGUACCUGGUAGUGGGGGAGUAGCCGGCCGAAAGACCGGAUUAAUACCGCAUAAGACCUGAGGGUGGAAAGACGGGGGACCGGUAAGGCCUCGCGCUACCGGAGCGGCCGAUGUCAGAUUAGCUAGUUGGUGGGGUAAAAGGACCUACCAAGGCGACGAUCUGUAGCUGGUCUGAGAGGACGACCAGCCACACUGGGACUGAGACACGGCCCA